GUCAAAUAACCGAUUAUCCCAAAACCUUAAGGUGUUAGGAUAGAGCCAUAUCAAUGGUUAUAUAUUAUUUCAAACACGCCCCCUCACGCAAGAGCCCACUUGGGCUUGAAGCGUGGAUAAUGCAUAGGCCCACCUACCAUAUGCUUAAAUUCCACUUUUUAAUUAGAAAGUGAGGGGAGCGGGGAUCGAACUCUAGACCACUUAGUCAUAGAGGCUCUGAUACCAUGUCAAAUAACCGAUUAUCCCAAAACCUUAAGGUGUUAGGAUAGAGCCAUAUCAAUGGUUAUAUAUUAUUU
rnacentral:lncRNA from 1 species